AGCUUUGCGCAGUGGCAGUAUCGUAGCCAAUGAGGUUUAUCCGAGGCGCGAUUAUUGCUAAUUGAAAACUUUUCCUAACUAUACUAGAAUUUAAAAUGAAAACUUAAUUAAAAAAAACAAAUUCUAAAACUAAGUAUAUUA